UCCUAUUAUAUAUAUAUAUAUAUAUAUAUAUAUAUAUAUAUUUUUGUCGUAUGUCUUCUUUUUUUUGAAAGCUUCUAUCUUAUGUCUUGUGACCAAGCAUUUCACCAUUUUGUGUUAUGUUAUGCAUGCGCAAAGAAGUCUCUAAUUCAAAUUGGAGUUUCUAAAUAUUAAUUCAUCCAAAUAUGAGGAAGGGCAUCAAUGAUUGAUAAA